rnacentral:rRNA from 1 species
UUCCUACGGGACGCAGCAGUGGGGAAUAUUGCACAAUGGGGGAAACCCUGAUGCAGCGACGCCGCGUGAGUGAAGAAGUAUUUCGGUAUGUAAAGCUCUAUCAGCAGGGAAGAUAAUGACGGUACCUGACUAAGAAGCCCCGGCUAACUACGUGCCAGCAGCCGCGGUAAUACGUAGGGGGCAAGCGUUAUCCGGAUUUACUGGGUGUAAAGGGUGCGUAGGCGGCUAGACAAGUCAGGUGUGAAAUACCACAGCUCAACUGCGGGGCUGCACUUGAAACUGUAGAGCUUGAGUGAUGGAGAGGG